AAUAUACUUUAAGUACAUAUGUGUAGAUUAUCAUACAAAGCCAGGUAUUUUAGUCAGUGUGUUGAGCAAACGAAGACGGAAUUGUCAUUUGUUUUUUUUUUGUAAAAUAAAAAAUAAACUUCUCAAUAUGAGUGGCGUUCAGAUUGUUGACGAUGACAACGGUGGAGUCAACGUUGUUGACGGUGACGGAGGCGUCCAGUUUGCUGACAACAGCGGCGGCGUCCAAUUUGCUGACAACAGCGGCGGCGUCCAAUUUGCUGACAAUAGCGGCGGCGUCCAAUUUGCUGACAACAGCGGCGGCGUGCAAUUUGCUGACAAUGACAGUGGGGUCCAAUUUGCUGGUGAUGACGGUAGCGGGGUCAACAUUGUCGGUUGAAUUAUUAAGUUUUAGUAUCUAAUCUAUUAGGAUAAUUACUGUAUUAAUAUUAUCUACUGAUUAAUUUUAAUGGAAAAUAAAUAAAUCUCCUGAUCAAUACAUAA